rnacentral:rRNA from 1 species
GGUGAACGCUGGCGGCGUGCCUAACACAUGCAAGUCGAGCGGCGGGACAAUAAGAGCUCGCCGAUCCGGUUGGCGACUGGCGGGCGAGUGACGCGUGGAUCGGGGACUACUUUUUCGAGGGGGAGAUCGUAGGGCAACUGACGCUAACACGGAAUACGACGUACGGGUUAGAGCAAGGGAGCUUGGGAGCUUGCGCGACUGACUGAGCCGAUGUCGGAUUAGCUAGUCGGCGGGGUAAAGGCUCACCAAGGCGACGAUACGUAGCUGGCCUGAGAGGAUGAUCAGCCACACUGGAACUGAGACACGGUCCAGACUCCUACGGGAGGCAGCAGUGGGGAAUAUUGGACAAUGGGCGCAGGCCUGACCGAGCCACGCCGCGUGGGUGAAGAAGGCCUUCGGGUCGUAAAGCUCUUUUGUUGGGAAAGAAAAGAAGCAUGUGAAUACCCCGCUGUUUUGACGGUACCCAAUGAGUAAGCACCGGCUAACUACGUG